GAGUUUGAUUCUGGCUCAGAACGAACGCUGGCGGCAUGCCUAACACAUGCAAGUCGAACGAGACCUUCGGGUCUAGUGGCGCACGGGUGCGUAACGCGUGGGAAUCUGCCCUUGGGUUCGGAAUAACAGUUAGAAAUGACUGCUAAUACCGGAUGAUGUCUUCGGACCAAAGAUUUAUCGCCCAGGGAUGAGCCCGCGUCGGAUUAGCUUGUUGGUGAGGUAAAAGCUCACCAAGGCGACGAUCCGUAGCUGGUCUGAGAGGAUGAUCAGCCACACUGGGACUGAGACACGGCCCAGACUCCUACGGGAGGCAGCAGUGGGGAAUAUUGGACAAUGGGCGAAAGCCUGAUCCAGCAAUGCCGCGUGAGUGAUGAAGGCCUUAGGGUUGUAAAGCUCUUUUACCCGGGAAAGAUAAUGACUGUACCGGGAGAAUAAGCCCCGGCUAACUCCGUGCCAGCAGCCGCGGUAAUACGGAGGGGGCUAGCGUUUGUUCGGAAUUACUGGGCGUAAAGCGCACGUAGGCGGCUUUGUAAGUUUAGGGGUGAAAGCCCGGGAGCUCAACUCCCGGAAUUUGCCCUUUUAAGACUGCAACGCUAGAAUCCGUGGAGAAGGUGAGUGGAAUUCCCGAGUUGUAGAGGGUGAAAUUCGUAGAUAUUCCGGAAGAAA
rnacentral:rRNA from 1 species